CCUCCAUCCACCAAGGAGAACAUCCAGCUCCCAGUGCCAUAGCUGGAUUCACCUGGAUGUUUCAAAGAACAAAUUUUAGGACCACUGAAAGAAAAAGAGCUGUGGGACAAGAUGAGAAAAAAGCCAGUCAUACCUCUGUGCAGAAGAACACACAUCUUGCAUGCCUCCAUAUGAGCUAAAGAAGACACUUGAAAGAUGAUUGAAGAUCUGUAUAUACAAGCAAAUAUGUUUCCCUUUAGGAAAAAAAAAAUAAUCAGGGAAAAACUAAAAUGAGAAGGGUACAGCCCUUAAUACUUACAGAGAACAAAUAAACUCGU